rnacentral:rRNA from 1 species
GACGAACGCUGGCGGCGUGCUUAACACAUGCAAGUCGAACGGAAAGGCCCUGCUUUUGUGGGGUGCUCGAGUGGCGAACGGGUGAGUAACACGUGAGUAACCUGCCCUUGACUUUGGGAUAACUUCAGGAAACUGGGGCUAAUACCGGAUAGGAGCUCCUGCUGCAUGGUGGGGGUUGGAAAGUUUCGGCGGUUGGGGAUGGACUCGCGGCUUAUCAGCUUGUUGGUGGGGUAGUGGCUUACCAAGGCUUUGACGGGUAGCCGGCCUGGGAGGGUGACCGGCCACCUUGGGACUGCGAUACGGCCCAGACUGCUACGGGAGGCAGCAGGGGGGAAUAUGGCACAAUGGGCGGAAGCGUGAUGCAGCAACGCCGCGUGCGGGAUGACGGCCUUCGGGUUGUAAACCGCUUUCGCCUGUGACGAAGCGUGAGUGACGGUAAUGGGUAAAGAAGCACCGGCUAACUACGUG